AUAUGGAAGAACAUGGAAAUGAUGAACCUGCUCCCAUGGAACAGGAAUAGAAGGCUAGUCUGCAUUCCAGUCUAUGUGAAGUCUUCUCUCUUUGAGCUUGACGGGUUGUAUCGUCAAGAGAACAUUUGAAUUAGUUUUAGAAUUUCAGCUUAUCAGGGGUUAUAUGCUUGUAACACUAUGCCGGAUGUGAAAAACUUUUCUGUGCUUCUUUGACCCCCCCUCCCUGCUCUUUACCCGUUUUCGUUGUCAGGACUGGAAAAACUAAGAGAGGUAGUUUGUUUCUUCAGCUAAAAUGUAGGCAUGGCCAAUGUAUAACUUGAUAUGUUAGGAUGUAUACAACGUUUACCAUGUUCUACCAGAAUUUGGAAAUAUUAUACCAUUAUUUUGCCCUGGAUUGGUGGA